UUGACCUCGGAUCAGGUAGGGAUACCCGCUGAACUUAAGCAUAUCAAUAAGCGGAGGAAAAGAAACCAACAGGGAUUGCCCUAGUAACGGCGAGUGAAGCGGCAACAGCUCAAAUUUGAAAUCUGGCUCUUUCAGAGUCCGAGUUGUAAUUUGCAGAGGGCGCUUUGGCUUUGGCAGCGGUCCAAGUUCCUUGGAACAGGACGUCACAGAGGGUGAGAAUCCCGUACGUGGUCGCUAGCUAUUGCCGUGUAAAGCCCCUUCGACGAGUCGAGUUGUUUGGGAAUGCAGCUCUAAAUGGGAGGUAAAUUUCUUCUAAAGCUAAAUAUUGGCCAGAGACCGAUAGCGCACAAGUAGAGUGAUCGAAAGAUGAAAAGCACUUUGGAAAGAGAGUCAAACAGCACGUGAAAUUGUUGAAAGGGAAGCGCUUGCAGCCAGACUUGCUUGCAGUUGCUCAUCCGGGCUUUUGCCCGGUGCACUCUUCUGUAGGCAGGCCAGCAUCAGUUUGGGCGGUGGGAUAAAGGUCUCUGUCACGUACCUCUCUUCGGGGAGGCCUUAUAGGGGAGACGACAUACCACCAGCCUAGACUGAGGUC
rnacentral:rRNA from 1 species